GCGGGGUUUGUGCAUAUCUGCCUCAACAGGAGAUCGCUUGAUAUUCCACCAGCAUUUCAUUGACUGCCUACUGUGUGACAUGCAGCCUGCUACGUGCCGGGGACCUAGAAGGCAAAGCGAGCCCACCGUGCUGGAGCCUGCCCAAAGCCACGAGCCAGUGCUGCCGCGGACAGCUGCCUGGUGCUCGGGGCGGGUAUAAGGAGGGUGGUGACCUCAUCUGGGAGGUGAGAUCUAAGGGACAGACAAGGAGCCCGGCAGGAAGCACACGUAGCGACUUUGAGGCAGAAACCGCAUGCGUGUCAGCACAUCCGUAUGGUUUCCAAAGAUCACUGGUACAAACUGGUCCCAGGCAAUCAAAGCUGGGAUUUAUGGGCCAUCCUGUUAGAAAGGGCACGCGCUUUUCAGCAGGAACGGCCCCAAACGGUGAGGAAAUACCUGUCCUCAAAAUAAUGAGCGCGUGUUCCCAGAGCGGGGGCCGUGUGCAAGAUGUGGCCCUUGGUCAUGUGGAGAAGCGACGGCCCGGCUCUUGUCUGCAGAGGACUGCUGGUUUUACUGAAAAGAUACACAGGACAGAGCCGUGAGGAGAACCUUGAGGUCUCGAGACCUUUCUCUUGCUUGAACAGCAGCCCAUUAAUCAAAGCUUUGCAUUUAGUUUUUUGCCUCUUCUGAAUCUGUCUCACACGACUGCCCUCAGCCGGUAUUUGUGGAACCCGCCCACGGGAGCCGCCUGAGGACCUCUGCCAAAUGUCUGGCUGCACCCCAGACGCAUCGUCUCUGGAGUCUCCCCUCUCAGGAAGGGAGAGCUUCCUCUCGUAUGAGUGGUCUCUGGAUCCAGGCGGUCCCCAGAGGACCCUCCGCUCCUGCCUUGUUCUCCUGGGGUUUACGAGACUUCAGGAUUGUUGCCCAGCCAGACGUGGAGUUCUGAAGCUUCUGGAAUCUGCCUUUUUUGGCAAAGAGGCACAGAUGUUCAUCUCUCCUCUGCUGGCACCUUCCCACUGCUUGGGGCUCUGUGAGGGCGGGGCUACAUCUGUCACGGUCACCGUCCCGCUGGCCUGCUGCGCCCCCGGAGCCUGGCAAAGAGGACGUGUGUCCUCGGUAACUGUGUCGAUCUGCCCAGAGCUGAGCUGACGCCGGUCCAACAGUCUCACUCAUAGGUUCUGUCGUGUCCAUGAUCCUUCCGAUUUCCCAGCUCUUCUCAAAACGCGGUGUAUUCCUUUUUGCGACUGUAAAAGGAGCACGUGCCCACUGGGGAUCUUGAAGGUGACCGAACCAAAGGCAGUCCACGCUUAGGGCUCGAAGGUCACCAGUACCAACGGUUCCGACUCUGGCAUCCACUCACCUACUGAAUGUUUCUGCCAGGGUGUCUCUAACGCAUCUCAAACCCUACCUGACCCCAAUCGGCCUUCUCAUCUUCCCCUUCACACUGCUCCCAAGUUCCCAGAUUGGUUCACAGCAUUGCAAUUCACCAGAUCGCCCAAGACAGAAGUCUUACGUUACUUUCCACUUCACCCCCAACAUCCAAUUAUUCAUCAAGGCUUGCCCAGUCUUGCUCCCCGGAAUGCGGCUUCUCAUCAUUACCGCAGCUUCCCCGGACUCUAAAACAGCCCCUCAUCACUGCUAAUCUGAAUCAUCCCAGCCACACUCUUACUGGUCUCCCGACCUCUCCGGCCGGGGCGACCUAAUCUCUCCAGUGCUGCUGGGAUAAGACCAUAUUAUCCCUCUGCUCAAAAAAUGUCAGAGACGCACCGUUUUCCACCGAAAAAUCCAGCAUGAGAUUCAGAGCUGUGUCUUCAUCUCCCAUCUACUCAAGGGUCACCUCCUCCAGGAAGUCUCCUCUGAUCUUCAGGACCAAAAUUAACAACCCCAUUUCCCUGUUCUCCCAUGGUGCUUUUGCUGGGUGCCUUUAACAGGUCUUACCCAUCAUUUCAUGGUUUGUCACAUAAAUCUGUUGCUCCCUCUCUGGACUCAGGAGCUCAUCAGUACCAGGGACCACUCCAUUCACCGUCGUGUGACCCGAGAGAAUCACGGUAUUGCUCGGGUGGAUUUCAGCACAGAAUUCAUCUGGACGUAGAAACUGGAACUUGUAAAGCACGGAUAUGCAAUCUGAGUAUCACCUUAGUUCCCUGGCACUUGUGUUUUCGAAAAGUUUUCAGUUAAAGUGUUACAUGGAUUUUUGUCUUUUAAAUUUUUUUUUUAAUGUUUAUUUAUUUUUGAGAGAGAUAGAACAGGGGGGUGGGCAGAGAGAGAGGGAGACGCAGAAUCCGAAGCAGGCUCCAGGCUAUGAUUCAUCAGCACAGAGCCCCAUGCAGGGCUUGAACUCAUGAACUAUGAGAUCAUGACCUGAGCCAAAGUUGGAUACUUAACUGACUGAACCACCCAGGCUUCCCUGGAUUUUUGUCUUUUAAACACUGAAUUUAGAUUUUCUCUAUUUAAAGUUAAAAUACAUGUAUUUCCCAGUUACCCAUUUCCUCUGAUUUUGCUUGAGGAAUCUCCUGUCCCUUUCCCAUUGGAUACAGUUCAAUGGCAGUGAGUGGGGUUUAUAAUCAGGAGGGAAUCUGCCCUCCACCCAGCACACAAGGCAUCACAUGGCCCAAGCUAGACCCAACUGGAUGCUUCUUCCUCUGGAGCUGAGUCCUGGGCAAAAGAACAAAGGGGCUACAAAAUGAAUGGAGUUCUUUUCCACGCCCCAACUUGUGGGAUGUGCCACAAUUAGGGCCUCGCCCCUUGUGGGCUUAGGUGACACUUAACAUUUUUGACAAUUACAAUGAGAUGGAAAUUUCAGGGCUCCAAAGGGUUUUGCCAAUAAUCUUCUUCCUGGUACUCCCAGCUCUCUGCUGGAGGCAGGUCUCAUCACCUCCUGGACCUCUGAGCUGGCAGGGCUUACCUGGCGUGAGGGGUGGAUGCAGGCAGCCCCCCAUGCUUUACAGCUUGCCGUGGUGGGGAAGUCUUUUGUGACGGAGAAAUGUGGGCACAGAUAUUCAUGACUUAUGUUUUAUUUGAGACACUGAGAAGGUAAGUUUCUCCCCGGAAAUAGAUAAGAAUAAACCAGCAGGAUCUCCAAAGAGGGACUUCUAGAAGGCAGAUGGAUAGACUUCUCUGUUUUUCUUCUUUUCCCAACCUAACGCUUGGGUUCCAGGAAAGGAUGUGGUUUGCUUUCAGACACAGGUGACUGUUUACUAACCCAGCUGCUGCUCUCUCGAGAAGGAGGAUUACCACACUCGAGUGAGGAGGUCACCCAUAACUUUGUGGGUGUGGUUCUUGCUUCUUAACUCUCCAGCUGCCUCCAUUCUUGCUUGUUUUUAAGCCAGGUUCUCCAGUUUCUUGUUGGUCCUGUGAGCCCUGGAUGGCACAGGGAUGAGUUUGCAGGCAGUGGAAAAAGAGUGACUUAAAUAUCAGGCAGCUGGUCCGGUCUGUGGCUCCAGAGAGUCACUAAUGUCACAGACUAUUCUUGUCUCUCUGCUCUAACCAUCCUCAGCAUGGCGCUUCGAUCCUUAAGGUCACGUAACGUCAUCAUUGCUGCUGCGGCACCAGCCAUCAUGUUGAUAUCCCAUACAGGAGGAAUGAGGAAGGAGGAGGGUCAAAAGGGCAUUGCCUGCACAGUCAGCCACUUAAAAACAAACAAACAAACAAACAAACAAGCCAAAAAAACCCUUUCCCAGGAUUCCAACCCAUUGGACUUCCAUUUAUAUCUAGUCUGCUGUAAUAAUGUCACACGGCCACACCGAGUUUUAAGGGAAGCUGGGCAGUGGGGUUUAAAUGGACAUGUUCCCACUGUGACAAAGAUCAGGCUUCUUUUAGAAAGGGAGAGAGAGAGAGAGAGAGCGAGCGAGAGAGAGAAUGUUGGGUGGGCAAGUCUCACUCUUUGUUUUGCCUCAGCCCCCAACAUCCUUCCCAGGACUUGUUUUUGAUUAGAUUAAUUUGAGUUGCUUUCUGUGACUUGCAACCAAAGAA